AUAGAGAGAGGCGAUAAGGCCUGAGGCACAGAGAAAGAAACAGAGAAAGAGGCAAAAUCAGACCACCGAAACCACAAGCACAUAGAAAGAAAAAUCUAUGGCCCAUCAACAUUGGUUUUUAAAACACAAAAUGAUUGAGAAUUUAGAGGGAUACAGAGAUAGUGUUUGUGAAUGUUGCUGCCACCAUCAGAUUAUCAAAACUGGUACCGUUGCCCUCCAAUUAUGAAGUUCUUCUUUGGAAAGUGUUCAAUGAUUGUACUAAGAGUGUUUGGCUGCAUAAAAGAAUGGGUGGUGUUUGUUUUUCCAUUGCUUCAAAAGGGUUAGCAAUCAUCAAGAUAGGUGAUUGAAGACAUUGGAAUCAUAUCCUAAUUUAAGAAUCUAGGUUCUUGCUUGGAACAAAUUAGUAAAUGCUUUAAAAAUAAAAUGACCUUUGGAGAUUGUUAGUGAGAUUAGUAAAGGGCAGACUAUUGAAAGCCAAAUUCGUAGAGCACUCCACUGCAGAGUGUACUAUACAAGCCAUAGUCCAGGUAUAAAUUUUAUAAAUGUGGUUUUUUUUUUUUUUGUAUUUUAUUGGGUUUGUUUAUGUGAGGAAUAAUGGUUAAUGGGUGUUUGAUUAAUUAUAUGUUGAACUGAAUUUACAAUGAUGGGCAUGGAUAUCUAAUGUUAUCUACACUUUUUUGUGUCAAUUGUAUUGGAUUCAGUUGCCAAGGUUAGAUCUUUUUGGGUCUUGUUUAUUGUGGUUGUUUUAGUGAGGAAUAAUGGUUAAUUAUGCAUUGAACUUAAUUCACAAUGAUCUAUACUAUUAGACAUUAAGUACAUUUCUGUUGUGAAUUGAUGUGGACUUGCCGACUGGUUAUGCAUGGCAUCAUAAUUUAGCUUCCAAAUCGGUUUGUAACAAAAUUGCAAUAGAACUUAUAAUACCCAGAGUAAUUUUCACGUGAAUUGGAAUUAUAGGA